CGGGGCGUAGCGCAGCCCGGUAGCGCGCACGGUUCGGGUCCGUGAAGUCGCCAGUUCAAAUCUGGCCGCCCCGACCA
rnacentral:tRNA from 1 species